rnacentral:tRNA from 1 species
ACCUGGUUGGCUCAGUCAGUAGAGCAUGUGACUCUUGAUCUCAGGGUCCUGAGUUCAAACCCCACAUUGGGCA